CCUACGGGAGGCAGCAGUGGGGAAUUUUGCGCAAUGCUCGUAAGAGUGACGCAGCGACGCCGCGUGAAUGACGAAGGCCUUCGGGUCGUAAAGUUCUUUCGACAGGGAAGAAAAUGCCUAUAAGUAACUGUGUAUGUAUUGACGGUACCUGUAUAAGCAGCCCCGGCUAACUCCGUGCCAGCAGCCGCGGUAAUACGGAGGGGGCGAGCGUUGUUCGGAGUGACUGGGCGUAAAGAGCACGUAGGCGGUGUUGUAAGUCAUUAGUCAAAGACUAGAGCUCAACUUUAGUAAGGCUAGUGAUACUGUAAUACGAGAGUAUCAGAGAGGAUUGCGGAAUUCCUGGUGUAGCGGUGAAAUGCGUAGAUAUCAGGAGGAAUAUCGUUAGCGAAGGCGACAAUCUGGCUGAAAACUGACGCUGAGGUGCGAAAGCGUGGGUAGCAAACAGGAUUAGAUACCCGAGUAGUC
rnacentral:rRNA from 1 species